AACGAACGCUGGCGGCAUGCCUAACACAUGCAAGUCGAACGAUUGCCUUCGGGUGAUAGUGGCGCACGGGUGCGUAACGCGUGGGAAUCUGCCCUUAGGUUCGGAAUAACAGCUGGAAACGGCUGCUAAUACCGGAUGAUAUCGCGAGAUCAAAGAUUUAUCGCCUGAGGAUGAGCCCGCGUUGGAUUAGGUAGUUGGUGGGGUAAAGGCCUACCAAGCCGACGAUCCAUAGCUGGUCUGAGAGGAUGAUCAGCCACACUGGGACUGAGACACGGCCCAGACUCCUACGGGAGGCAGCAGUGGGGAAUAUUGGACAAUGGGCGCAAGCCUGAUCCAGCAAUGCCGCGUGAGUGAUGAAGGCCCUAGGGUUGUAAAGCUCUUUUACCCGGGAAGAUAAUGACUGUACGGGGAGAAUAAGCCCCGGCUAACUCCG
rnacentral:rRNA from 1 species